CCUACGGGAGGCAGCAGUGGGGAAUAUUGGGCAAUGGAGGAAACUCUGACCCAGCGACGCCGCGUGCGGGAUGAAGGCCUUCGGGUUGUAAACCGCUUUCAGUAGGGAAGAAGCGAAAGUGACGGUACCUACAGAAGAAGCACCGGCUAACUAUGUGCCAGCAGCCGCGGUAAUACAUAGGGUGCAGGCGUUGUCCGGAAUUAUUGGGCGUAAAGAGCUCGUAGGUGGUUCGUCACGUCGGAUGUGAAAAUCUGGGGCUCAACCCCAGACCUGCAUUCGAUACGGGCGAUCUAGAGUGUGGUAGGGGAGACUGGAAUUCCUGGUGUAGCGGUGGAAUGCGCAGAUAUCAGGAGGAACACCAAUGGCGAAGGCAGGUCUCUGGGCCAUUACUGACACUGAGGAGCGAAAGCGUGGGGAGCGAACAGGAUUAGAUACCCUGGUAGUCCACGCCGUAAACGGUGGGCACUAGUUGUGGGAACCUUCCACGGUUUCUGCGACGCAGCUAACGCAUUAAGUGCCCCGCCUGGGGAGUACGANCGCAGAUAAACUACAANAGAGUAGAGCGUGAGAGUGCCGACGGACGACGACGAGGGAGGUUAGG
rnacentral:rRNA from 1 species